AAUCAACGCUGGCGGCGUGCCUCAGACAUGCAAGUCGAACGCGAAAGUUUCCUUCGGGAGACAAGUAGAGUGGCGCACGGGUGAGUAACACGUAGGUAAUCUACCUUUGGAUGGGGAAUAACAACCGGAAACGGUUGCUAAUACCGCAUAAUGCAGCGGCACCUAAUGGUGACAGUUGUUAAAGCGGGGAGUCGAAAGACCUCGCGUCUGAAGAGGAGCCU
rnacentral:rRNA from 1 species